GACGAACGCUGGCGGCGUGCUAAUACAUGCAAGUAGAACGCUGAAGCUUGGUGCUUGCACCGAGCGGAUGAGUUGCGAACGGGUGAGUAACGCGUAGGUAACCUGCCUGGUAGCGGGGGAUAACUAUUGGAAACGAUAGCUAAUACCGCAUAAAAUGGAUUAUCGCAUGAUAAUUCAUUGAAAGGUGCAAAUGCAUCACUACCAGAUGGACCUGCGUUGUAUUAGCUAGUUGGUGGGGUAACGGCUCACCAAGGCGACGAUACAUAGCCGACCUGAGAGGGUGAUCGGCCACACUGGGACUGAGACACGGCCCAGACUCCUACGGGAGGCAGCAGUAGGGAAUCUUCGGCAAUGGACGGAAGUCUGCCGAGCAACGCCGCGUGAGUGAAUGAAGGUUUUCGGAUCGUAAAGCUCUGUUGUAAGAG
rnacentral:rRNA from 1 species